rnacentral:rRNA from 1 species
CAGCAGCCACGGGAAUACGAAGGGGGCUAGCGUUGUUCGGAUUUACUGGGCGUAAAGCGCACGUAGGCGGAUCGAUCAGUCAGGGGUGAAAUCCCAGAGCUCAACUCUGGAACUGCCUUUGAUACUGUCGAUCUGGAGUAUGGAAGAGGUGAGUGGAAUUCCGAGUGUAGAGGUGAAAUUCGUAGAUAUUCGGAGGAACACCAGUGGCGAAGGCGGCUCACUGGUCCAUUACUGACGCUGAGGUGCGAAAGCGUGGGGAGCAAACAGGAUUAGAUACCCGCGUAGUCCCUGUCUCUUAUAA